CCCGUGCCUCGGCCCUGCACUCCCCGCCCGCGGAGCAGCUCCAGCUUUUGUCUCCGUACGCUGCCUCCUUCCUUUCUCUCCUUCCAAACUUUUGAGCGCUCUCUCUGAGCUGUAUUUAUAGACCUGGAGCCCACGGCUGUAUUUUUCCUUGUGCCUCCUUUGGCUUGGGCUGAAGUCACUGGCAGGGAAAAUAAGAAGGAGGCAAGGCGGGCGGGCAGACGAGCGGGAGGACAGAAGGGAAAAAGAGCCUGAGUCCCGCAGACGGGACCUGGAGGGAGGCUGGGGUAGGCGGCGAAACGUGCGGGACCCUUCUCCCGCGGACGAGAGAGAGGUGACAGCGGAAGUGAGGACGCUGAAGUCUCUAAAAUGGCACCAAAUCUCUCAGCAAAGCAGACUGUGUAGUUGUGUUGUUAAGCAUUUUCCUCGCCGACGUGCACCACAUUGACAUUAAUCUUAGAAAUGAAUGUCAAAGUAAUUCUGGCAUCGUUAGGGAGCCCGUUCUGCAGAUGGCAGAUUUGGAAGGCUCCCCUGCCAUUUGCAGGGACAUCCGCACCGUUAGCAAAAGUGCUGCAGGGAGUCGUGCCCAGACACCGCAAUCUUCGCCACCGACAGCAUCCUCACCUACAGUGCCCUCGGUGGCCAGAGAUCAGCGGAUGAACAAACCCAAAUGAUUAAAAUAAGUGCAAACCAGACUUCUUGCUGCAGGGAGUUGAAAUUCACGUAUGGAGGAGUGUAUAGAAUAAAAGAAAAGCGUGUUUAUAGCUCCAAAUCACUGCAUCGACAGCAAGAGAACAAGAUCGCUGUACAUGACAUAAGGGGGCAAACUCCUGUUCGGACAGUGGUUAUUGUAUGACAAGAAGCAAUAGCUGCUUUACUAUUAAAAAUAGUGUUUAUUAUGAAGAAACUGAAUGAGCAACCAUCCAAAUAAAUACCCUCUGCAUACAACAAGUGCACGGUGUUUGUGAUGCUUUGGGUGCCACUAACCUUACUGUCUUUUAACCAUUAUUGUGUUUUUGCUCGGCAUUAUGAACACUGUUUUCCAGUUGCCCUCAUUUCAGCAUGGUCUAACAUUCCUCAAUUGCACGGAGAAAUACCAAAAGGGGUAUUUUUUCUUUUCCCCUGUAAAUGCACGUCAAUAAAUUCAAUGUGUAUUCUUA